rnacentral:sRNA from 1 species
CUGUGCGGGGACGGGGGAGUGGUAGUGGGGGCUGCAGCUGCCGGACCCAGGCACCGACCCUUGACCUCCGGUGGCUCCCCCAUCUCUCAGGCGCGAUGGCUACGGGCGCGGAUGUACGGGACAUUCUAGAACUCGGGGGUCCAGAAGGGGAUGCAGCCUCUGGGACCAUCAGCAAGAAGGACAUUAUCAACCCGGACAAGAAAAAGUCCAAGAAGUCCUCUGAGACACUGACUUUCAAGAGGCCCGAGGGCAUGCACCGGGAAGUCUAUGCCUUGCUCUACUCUGACAAGAAGGAUGCACCCCCACUGCUACCCAGUGACACUGGCCAGGGGUACCGUACAGUGAAGGCCAAGUUGGGCUCCAAGAAGGUGCGGCCUUGGAAGUGGAUGCCAUUCACCAACCCGGCCCGCAAGGACGGAGCAAUGUUCUUCCACUGGCGACGUGCAGCGGAGGAGGGCAAGGACUACCCCUUUGCCAGGUUCAAUAAGGUACCUUACAUCAGGUAGGUACCCUGAACAGAGCUCAUCAUCUUCCCUCUGUCGGUCCCAAAUCUGUUCCCCAUCUCAGUGAAUGGCACCAUCUUUCACCCAGUUGCCCAAACCAGAAACUUGGGGGAUCGUCCUGACUUAGUCUUCUCCCUUAGUCCUCACAGUAUUUAAAUCAACAACAGAACAAAGAAGGUAGGGGAAAACAAACAACAAACAUGUAAGGAAAUAAA